rnacentral:rRNA from 1 species
UGGGGAAUCUUGCACAAUGGGGGCAACCCUGAUGCAGCGACGCCGCGUGAGCGAUGAAGCCCUUCGGGGCGUAAAGCUCUUUCGACCGGAACGAUAAUGACGGUACCGGGAGAAGAAGCUGCGGCUAACUACGUGCCAGCAGCCGCGGUAAUACGUAGGUGUCGAGCGUUGUCCGGAUUUAUUGGGCGUAAAGAGCCCGCAGGCGGCUUGUCUAGUCCGAGGUGAAAUCUCCCGGCUCAACUGGGAGGGUGCCUCGGAAACUGGCAGGCUUGAGGCAGGGAGAGGGAUGUGGAAUUCCAGGUGUAGUGGUGAAAUGCGUAGAUACCUGGAGGAACACCAGUGGCGAAGGCGGCAUCCUGGCCCUGACCUGACGCUCAGGGGCGAAAGCGUGGGGAGCAAACC